UGAGGAAUAUUGCACAAUGGGCGCAAGCCUGAUGCAGCAACGCCGCGUGCGGGACGAAGGCCUUCGGGUCGUAAACCGCUUUUCUGGGGGAAGAGCAAGGACGGUACCUCAGGAAUAAGUCUCGGCUAACUACGUGCCAGCAGCCGCGGUAAAACGUAGGAGGCGAGCGUUAUCCGGAUUUACUGGGCGUAAAGCGCACGCAGGCGGCUCUGUUAGUCGGACGUGAAAGCUCUCGGCUUAACCGGGAGAGGCCGUUCGAUACUGCGGGGCUUGAGGUAGGGAGAGGAAUGCGGAAUUCCCGGUGGAGUGGUGGAAUGCGUAGAUAUCGGGAGGAACACCUGUGGCGAAAGCGGCAUUCUGGCCCUCACCUGACGCUGAGGUGCGAAAGCGUGGGUAGCAAACA
rnacentral:rRNA from 1 species